rnacentral:rRNA from 1 species
AGUGGGGAAUUUUGGACAAUGGGCGCAAGCCUGAUCCAGCCAUUCCGCGUGCAGGAUGAAGGCCUUCGGGUUGUAAACUGCUUUUGUACGGAACGAAACGGUUCUCUCUAAUACAGGGGGCUAAUGACGGUACCGUAAGAAUAAGCACCGGCUAACUACGUGCCAGCAGCCGCGGUAAUACGUAGGGUGCAAGCGUUAAUCGGAAUUACUGGGCGUAAAGCGUGCGCAGGCGGUUUUGUAAGACAGAGGUGAAAUCCCCGGGCUCAACCUGGGAACUGCCUUUGUGACUGCAAGGCUGGAGUACGGCAGAGGGGGAUGGAAUUCCGCGUGUAGCAGUGAAAUGCGUAGAUAUGCGGAGGAACACCGAUGGCGAAGGCAAUCCCCUGGGCCUGUACUGACGCUCAUGCACGAAAGCGUGGGGAGCAAACAGGAUUAGAUACCCUGGUAGUCCACGCCCUAAACGAUGUCAACUGGUUGUUGGGUCUUCACUGACUCAGUAACGAAGCUAACGCGUGAAGUUGACCGCCUGGGGAGUACGGCCGCAAGG